AUUGAACGCUGGCGGCACGCCUUACACAUGCAAGUCGAACGGCAGCACGGGAGCAAUCCUGGUGGCGAGUGGCGAACGGGUGAGUAAAGUAUCGGAACGUGCCCAGUCGUGGGGGAUAACGUAGCGAAAGUUACGCUAAUACCGCAUACGAUCUAUGGAUGAAAGCGGGGGAUCGCAAGACCUCGCGCGAUUGGAGCGGCCGAUAUCAGAUUAGGUAGUUGGUGGGGUAAAGGCCCACCAAGCCGACGAUCUGUAGCUGGUCUGAGAGGACGACCAGCCAAACUGGGACUGAGACACGGCCCAGACUCCUACGGGAGGCAGCAGUGGGGAAUUUUGGACAAUGGGCGAAAGCCUGAUCCAGCCAUGCCGCGUGCAGGAUGAAGGCCUUCGGGUUGUAAACUGCUUUUGUACGGAACGAAAAGGACUGCCCUAAUACGGUGGUCCCAUGACGGUACCGUAAGAAUAAGCACCGGCUAACUACGUGCCAGCCGCCGCCGUAA
rnacentral:rRNA from 1 species